UACGUAGGGAGCAAGCGUUGUCCGGAAUCAUUGGGCGUAAAGCGCGCGUAGGUGGCCUCAUAAGUCCGCUGUGAAAGUCAAAGGCUCAACCUUUGAAAGCCGGUGGAUACUGUGGGGCUAGAGUACGGAAGAGGCGAGUGGAAUUCCUGGUGUAGCGGUGGAAUGCGCAGAUAUCAGGAGGAACACCGGUGGCGAAGGCGGGUCUCUGGGCCGACAUUGACGCUGAGGAGCGAAAGCGUGGGGAGCGAACAGG
rnacentral:rRNA from 1 species